rnacentral:misc_RNA from 1 species
UGGAUUGAGAUUGGCGGUGUUGUUCAUGCAUUCAUUGGCGGAGAUAGAUCACACCCACAAUCACCUCAGAUAAAAAACAAAAUUGAUGAACUAUUGGUGGAGAUGAAAAGGUUGGGUUAUCAUGGGGAAUCUAGCUAUGUUCUUCAAGACGUUGAAGACGAGGAGAAGGAACAAAUCCUCCUUUAUCAUAGUGAAAAACUAGCUAUUGCAUUCGGAAUUCUUAAUCUCAACCCCAAUAAGCCCAUUCUAGUAACUAAGAAUUUGCGAGUUUGUGGUGAUUGCCAUACCGCUAUAAAACUUAUCUCCCUUAUUACAAAAAGAAAUAUUACAGUAAGAGAUGCAAGCCGAUUCCAUCAUUUCAAGGACGGAAUUUGCAAUUGUGGAGAUUUCUGGUGAGAAUGAGGAUGCAUAUUUUACAGAUGGUGCCUCAGUUAACUCAAGCGACUGUGCUUUCGACUUUUCGCUAUUCAUUCCUCAGGAGCUAUGGAGGAACUGGCAAUCCAUGUAAAAGAUGAUUGAGAUUUGAGCCUUCUGAUGAAAGUGACCUAAAUCCAUUUCUGAAGCUGGUAUUAUUUUUUCGAUGGUUUGACUUCUUUAGAUCAGGAAAAUGAACGAAAUUUAGCAAGAGAAAGGCCUUUUGAUGAUUCAAUGAACAGUGUGAAUAUUGGCUUUGCCUAGGAAAGGGAUUAUGAAGGUGGGACUGCUGGUUGCAGGAACCAUAUAGUCUUCGCAGGAUGGCCUGUACCGGUGCAUCUCGGCUUUCAAAAUGAGUUUCAUUCACUGUUUCAAGAAUGGGUUAGAGUCAUUACCAUUACAACACUAAUGACUGAUGAGGAAAUUUUGCAAGGUUUGUGACGACUGGCUAAGACUCCAUGGCUAAAAAAUCCCAUAUGUUGGAAUCUUCAUGUUUCGCAAGUGGCUCAAUUUCAUGUUUCAGAAAACCAUAGUACUAUCCUAACUCCGUGUUAUCUUAACCAAGUCCUAGAGACUCAAUAUGCCUCGAAAAUAUGAAAAAGCAGACCUUGAACUACUCGAUUAAAUUGUCCCCAGUUGCAUGUUUUAUCCCUUUAAUUGGGAUACCAGAAACGCAUCAGAGGGACAAGUGACUAGGGCUAUGCUAGGCCAAACACAAGAUUCAGUUGGGUUGAGUUCUUUUAUAUUGUUAGAUCCUUGUGCAACUUUCUUAGAUCCCACCUUAUAUUCCAAGAAAGCCAUGAUGCUACAAUCAUACAAAAAAAUUUGGUACACCUGGAUGGAGACGACUGGUUAAACACCAUGCUCAGAGCAGGCGUUAAAACAUAUGAAGUACGUCAGUAUCAGGUGGUUGGCACCAACUCAAUGAAUCUACAAACAGGGUGAAAAAUAUCAAUGAUGACAACAAUAUUACAACGAUUGCCAACUACACUUCCCAAUCAACCAUUCUUUCCAGUUAACGCCUGUCUGCAUUUGCAACCUUAAGCCACCACAAUUAACUUAUGUCGCUUCCUCCUCGUUUCUUUCUGUGACUUUCUUUUGUAUUUUCACUUUUUCUCAAGGGCGUGUGUAGGGAAGGAGGGGGGAGAG